UACGGAGGGUGCAAACGUUGCUCGGAAUCAUUGGGCGUAAAGCGCACGUAGGCGGCCUGUUAAGUCGGGUGUGAAAGCCCUGGGCUCAACCCAGGAAGUGCACUCGAAACUGGCGGGCUUGAAUAUGGAAGAGGGUCGCGGAAUUCCCGGUGUAGAGGUGAAAUUCGUAGAUAUCGGGAGGAACACCAGUGGCGAAGGCGGCGACCUGGGCCAACAUUGACGCUGAGGUGCGAAAGCGUGGGGAGCAAACAGG
rnacentral:rRNA from 1 species